GACCACGUAGCUUAGUUGGUUGAGCAUUGGGCUUAUAUUCCAAAGAUCGUAGGUUCGAUUCCCACCGUGGACA